UGGGGGAUAUUGCACAAUGGGCGAAAGCCUGAUGCAGCGACGCCGCGUGGGGGAUGAAGGCCUUCGGGUUGUAAACUUCUUUUGCUCUGAACAAGGCGCACCAUGGGGUGUGUUGAGUGUAGGGGUUGAUUAGCGCCGGCUAACUACGUGCCAGCAGCCGCGGUAAUACGUAGGGCGCGAGCGUUGUCCGGAAUUAUUGGGCGUAAAGGGCUUGUAGGUGGCUGGUUGCGUCUGUCGUGAAAGCUCAUGGCUUAACUGUGGGUUGCGGUGGGUACGGGCUGGCUUGAGUGCAGUAGGGAAGGCUGGAAUUCCUGGUGUAGCGGUGGAAUGCGCAGAUAUCAGGAGGAAUACCGGUGGCGAAGGCGGGUCUCUGGGCUGUUACUGACACUGAGGAGCGAAAGCAUGGGGAGCGAACAGG
rnacentral:rRNA from 1 species